AGAAUAACGAGGAGGAUGAGAACGCGUUUUCUUAUCAUCACCA
rnacentral:sRNA from 1 species